AGAGUUUGAUCAUGGCUCAGAUUGAACGCUGGCGGCAUGCCUUACACAUGCAAGUCGAACGGUAACGCGGGGCAACCUGGCGACGAGUGGCGAACGGGUGAGUAAAGCAUCGGAACGUGCCCAGUAGUGGGGGAUAGCCCGGCGAAAGCCGGAUUAAUACCGCAUACGACCUACGGGUGAAAGGGGGGGAUCGCAAGACCUCUCGCUAUUGGAGCGGCCGAUGUCAGAUUAGGUAGUUGGUGGGGUAAAGGCCUACCAAGCCGACGAUCUGUAGCUGGUCUGAGAGGACGACCAGCCACACUGGGACUGAGACACGGCCCAGACUCCUACGGGAGGCAGCAGUGGGGAAUUUUGGACAAUGGGCGCAAGCCUGAUCCAGCCAUGCCGCGUGCGGGAAGAAGGCCUUCGGGUUGUAAACCGCUUUUGUCAGGGAAGAAAUCUUCUGGGUUAACACCUCGGGAGGAUGACGGUACCUGAAGAAUAAGCACCGGCUAACUACGUGCCAGCAGCCGCGGUAAUACGUAGGGUGCAAGCGUUAAUCGGAAUUACUGGGCGUAAAGCGUGCGCAGGCGGUUAUGUAAGACAGAGGUGAAAUCCCCGGGCUCAACCUGGGAACUGCCUUUGUGACUGCAUAGCUUGAGUGCGGCAGAGGGGGAUGGAAUUCCGCGUGUAGCAGUGAAAUGCGUAGAUAUGCGGA
rnacentral:rRNA from 1 species